UACGUAGGGUGCGAGCGUUGUCCGGAAUUAUUGGGCGUAAAGGGCUUGUAGGCGGUUUGUCGCGUCUGCUGUGAAAAUCCGAGGCUCAACCUCGGACUUGCAGUGGGUACGGGCAGACUAGAGUGCGGUAGGGGAGACUGGAAUUCCUGGUGUAGCGGUGGAAUGCGCAGAUAUCAGGAGGAACACCGAUGGCGAAGGCAGGUCUCUGGGCCGUUACUGACGCUGAGGAGCGAAAGCAUGGGGAGCGAACAGG
rnacentral:rRNA from 1 species